UCUGCGACGGAUACUGCACGCUUCUUCCGUUCUAUGGCAAGUCGCGACAACGGACGCCGCUCCAUUCCCCGUGGUAGACUCCACGUGGCACAUCCCGGUGAUAGCCACGGGUCUACUCCAUUACUCUUCGUAACAAAUUCUGCCUGACUCUGAGCAGCCCACUGUCAGAUGGUUACAGAUGUCGCUAUCAGUCUGCUGCCCCC
rnacentral:lncRNA from 1 species